AGAGUUUGAUCAUGGCUCAGAUUGAACGCUGGCGGCAUGCUUUACACAUGCAAGUCGAGCGGCAGCGCGGGGGCAACCCUGGCGGCGAGCGGCGAACGGGUGAGGAAUACAUCGGAACGUACCCCGGAGUGGGGGAUAACGCCGCGAAAGCGGCGCUAAUACCGCAUAUGCUCUGAGGAGGAAAGUGGGGGACCGCAAGGCCUCACGCUCUGGGAGCGGCCGAUGUCGGAUUAGCUAGUUGGUGGGGUAAUGGCUUACCAAGGCGACGAUCCGUAGCUGGUCUGAGAGGAUGAUCAGCCACACUGGGACUGAGACACGGCCCAGACUCCUACGGGAGGCAGCAGUGGGGAAUUUUGGACAAUGGGGGCAACCCUGAUCCAGCCAUGCCGCGUGCGGGAAGAAGGCCUUCGGGUUGUAAACCGCUUUUAGUCGGGAAGAAAAGGUUACUCCGAAUAAGGGUGACUCUUGACGGUACCGGCGGAAUAAGCACCGGCUAACUACGUGCCAGCAGCCGCGGUAAUACGUAGGGUGCGAGUGUUAAUCGGAAUUACUGGGCGUAAAGCGUGCGCAGGCGGUUCGUUAAGUUCGAUGUGAAAGCCCCGGGCUCAACCUGGGAAUGGCAUUGAAAACUGGCGGGCUUGAGUCUGGCAGAGGGGGGUGGAAUUCCGCGUGUAGCAGUGAAAUGCGUAGAGAUGCGGAG
rnacentral:rRNA from 1 species